rnacentral:piRNA from 1 species
UAGAGUUGAUUGAGACAGAUGGAUAUACU